UACCAGCUCUCCGAGUGGUAGGGAUGAUUAUUGGGCUUAAAGCGUCCGUAGCCGGCUUAGCAAGUCUCCUGUUAAAUUCAGCGACCUAAUCGUUGAGCCGCGGGAGAUACUACUAGGCUAGGAGGCGGGAGAGGUCGACGGUACUUCUGGGGUAGGGGUGAAAUCCUAUAAUCCCGGGAGGACCACCAGUGGCGAAGGCUGUCGACUAGAACGCGCUCGACGGUGAGGGACGAAAGCUGGGGGAGCGAACCGGAUUAGAUACCCGUGUAGUCCCAGCUGUAAACGAUGCGGGCUAGGUGUUGGGGUGGCUACGUGCCACUUCAGUGCCGCAGGGAAGCCAUUAAGCCCGCCGCCUGGGGAGUACGGCCGCAAGGCUGAAACUUAAGGAAUUGGCGGGGAGCACCACAAGGCGUGAGGCUUGCGGUUC
rnacentral:rRNA from 1 species